CCUUGGGAUACCACCCUUGUCGUACUGAAGUUCUAACCCGCACCCCUGAUCGGGGUGGGAGACCGUGUCAGGUGGGCAGUUUGACUGGGGCGGUCGCCUCCCAAAGAGUAACGGAGGCGCCCAAAGGUUCCCUCAGAAUGGUUGGAAAUCAUUCGAAGAGUGUAAAGGCAGAAGGGAGCUUGACUGCGAGACCUACAAGUCGAGCAGGGACGAAAGUCGGGCUUAGUGAUCCGGUGGUUCCGCAUGGAAGGGCCAUCGCUCAACGGAUAAAAGCUACCCCGGGGAUAACAGGCUUAUCUCCCCCAAGAGUCCACAUCGACGGGGAGGUUUGGCACCUCGAUGUCGGCUCAUCGCAUCCUGGGGCUGUAGUCGGUCCCAAGGGUUGGGCUGUUCGCCCAUUAAAGCGGUACGCGAGCUGGGUUCAGAACGUCGUGAGACAGUUCGGUCCCUAUCCGUCGCGGGCGCAGGAAAUUUGAGAGGAGCUGUCCUUAGUACGAGAGGACCGGGAUGGACGCACCGCUGGUGUACCAGUUGUCCUGCCAAGGGCACCGCUGGGUAGCUAUGUGCGGAAGGGAUAAGCGCUGAAAGCAUCUAAGCGUGAAGCCCCCCUCAAGAUGAGAUUUCCCAUUGCAUAAGCAAGUAAGAUCCCUCGAAGAUGACGAGGUAGAUAGGUCCGAGGUGGAAGCGUGGCGACACGUGCAGCUGACGGAUACUAAUCGAUCGAGGACUUAACCAAU
rnacentral:rRNA from 1 species